rnacentral:SRP_RNA from 1 species
GCCAGGCGCGGCGGCGCGCUGCCUGUAGUCCCACUACUCAGGAGGCUGAGGCGGGAGGAUGGCUUGACCCCAGGAGUUCUGGGCUGUAGUGCGCUAUGUCGAUUGGGUGUCCGCACUAAGUUCGGCAUCAGUAUGGUGACCUCCCGGGAGCAGGGGACCACCAGGUUGCCUAAGGAGGGGUGAACCGGCCCAGGUCGGAAAAGGAGCAGGUCAAAACUCCCGUGCUGAUCAGUAGUGGGAUGGCCCCUGUAAAUAGCUACUGCACUCUGGCCUGGGCACCAUAGCGAGACCCUGUCUCA